CCAAAACUAUUGAAAUAAUGUACCGUAUUGUUAGAAACGCACGGCUAAAAAUACAAAUACUGCUACCAUGGCUAAAAACGCACAGGUUGCUCCAAGUUGAUAUCGACAGGCGUGAACAAUGUUGUGCGGCCAACUAUGAACAAGUUGUCAACCAUGUUGUUCCAAGUUGUUACAGUUGAACAAUGCUGUAACAACAUGUUGACAAUACUGUUCAUAGUGGGCCGCACAACCUUGUUCAUGCCUGUUGAUGUCAACCUGGAACAAGUUGUUGAUUUUCUCAAUUUUUAUGUGUGUAGUACUAAGCUGAAUGCAAAAAUAUUGACAGUGUGCACACUGCAUACAGUAUAUUAUGAAUAUUGACUAAUUAAGAAAUUAAAAUAUCUUUGUAAAGUGCACAAUUUUCUGCUCUUGGGAAUUUAACAGCUCUUACGGGCCAAGUCACAAUAUUCAUGUUGCCACAAAUAACAUUGAAUCAAUGUUAUCACUUCAUCCAUGGCACCCACCCACUCCAGAUAAUGUUGAUCGAUAUUCAGUCGUAUUUUGACUUCCGAUUUGACGUUAUUGGUGGCAACAUGAAUAUGGACGUGGCCCCUAUGGGGCUGAUUACAUGGAGAGUUUUCAACCAGGGCUAAGUUUCAGCCUGGCCCAAGGAUAAAAUCCUAUUAAAACAUAGCAAGUGGUUAUUACACGAUUAUUCAGCCACGUUUGAGCUGCCCAGGCUGAAAUUUCAGCCCGGCAGCAUGUAAUCACAAAUAAUUCCAGCCCGGGCUAAAAAAACAACUGUUUAAAUGGCUUUAUUUUGAGUAUUUGUUUCAUCUUUAAAAAUACUAUACAUGUAACCACAGUCUCGCAAAAGUCAAAUAGUCAACUAAUCAGCAUCUUAAUGCUUCAAAGAAAUGUAACAGACUUAUUCUCAUAAUAGAUAUUAUUCUCCUAUUUUGCUACACUCUACUGUAUUUUGUGAUAAUUUCAGCUGGGGCUGACAUUUCAGCCUGGGUUAACUAUAAAUACUGUAAACCUCCGACUAUAAGCCCUGAGCUUAUAUACUUUCGUAAGCGAUUUAUACAAGGGGGGGGGGGCUUAUAUAUGGGGGUGCUUAUACAUGGACGAUAUUUUGUGUUAGUAAUAAACAAGUCAGACAUAAAAAAAUCAGUCAUAAAAAAGAAAUAAACAUGUAUUAAGCAGCGAUUACUGGGCUUAUAUUAAUUAGGGAA